CCUCUCAGUCAUGGAUACAAAUACUUUUUUAUCACUUUAUAUAUCACAAAUUUUUCUGAAAUUGCAGCAGUGUCUCAUCAUGGCUGGCCGUCAGUCUCGCAUCCCUUGCGUAAGCAGGAGCUGCCACACUGAUAAUGACGUGAACUAAGGGCCAGGCAGGCAACUGAACAUCCCUCUCAUGCACGGCUGGUGGAUAUGAGGUCGCAUUGCUUUUGCUAAAUUUUGCAGUAACU